UGCCAGAGAUAUUUGUUCUGAGCAACAGGA
rnacentral:piRNA from 2 species